CGCCUGGGGAGUGCGGCCGCAAGGUUAAAACUCAAAUGAAUUGACGGGGGCCCGCACAAGCGGUGGAGCAUGUGGUUUAAUUCGACGCAACGCGAAGAACCUUACCUGGCCUUGACAUCCAGAGAGCUUUCCAGAGAUGGAUUGGUGCCUUCGGGAACUCUGAGACAGGUGCUGCAUGGCCGUCGUCAGCUCGUGUCGUGAGAUGUUGGGUUAAGUCCCGUAACGAGCGCAACCCCUAUCCCUGGUUGCUAGCAGGUAAUGCUGAGAACUCCAGGGAGACUGCCGGUGACAAACCGGAGGAAGGUGGGGAUGACGUCAGGUCAUCAUGGCCCUUACGGCCAGGGCUACACACGUGCUACAAUGGCGCGUACAGAGGGCUGCCAACUCGCGAGAGUGAGCCAAUCCCUUAAAACGCGUCGUAGUCCGGAUCGGAGUCUGCAACUCGACUCCGUGAAGUCGGAAUCGCUAGUAAUCGCGAAUCAGAAUGUCGCGGUGAAUACGUUCCCGGGCCUUGUACACACCGCCCGUCACCAUGGGAGUGGAUUGCACCAGAAGUAGUUAGUCUAACCUUCGGGAGGACGAUUACCACGGUGUGGUUCAUGACUGGGGUGAAGUCGUAACAAGGUAACCGUA
rnacentral:rRNA from 1 species